UGAAGGCUGCAGCUGCAGCGGCAGAGGUGGGUGCAGCGCCGUUGUUGCCGUGUUGUGGAUAAGGCACACGCACAGGCAUUGAAGGCCCAGUGGAGCUGAGGAAGCUCUUCAGAUUUCCAAGGUAAUCAACCUUUGUUGGCGAGGACGUCCAUUGUUUAAGGAACAUAGACCUCUAAAUUAUGUAUUCUGUGAAAUUCUGGUACUUCCCUCUUCUCGAAAAAGUCACACAUUAGCAGCAAGCCAUGAAGUUCGCCAAGGAGUACCCGAAGCAUAUGAUCAAGAAAUGCCAUGCUACGCCCUGUUCCCCACAUGGCCUUGGCGACGAGAGAGACGUCGCCAUCCCAGGAGGUAACCAGUGCUCUGGGGCUAGCCAUUGCUAUGGUAAAUAGUUCUGUUAACCUGUUCUUUGUUCGUCUCUUGAGGGUCCUCCAUUUUUCAUUUUCUACUCGGGAUUCUGUCGUCGCUUAGGUGUUGGCACAAGGAGCAGUCAAGAACUUCGUUGAAUAUUUUCCCCUUAUUUUGGACAAUCAAAUCGAGGAUGAACUCAACCUAAGUGAAUCUUGCCAUUCAGUUCACAUUUCAUUUUGUGUGUUUAGCUCGUAAAAUACCUAUGUUUGGCUUACAGUGCUGAACCUAGUCAUCACUAUGACACUAUGAUCCCUGACAACAAUGGGGCUUUAUAUGGUAAGUUCCAAUUAUGCUUAUUACCCUGCAUAUGUUGUCUUCUUUUAAAUCCUCUUAUAUCGCACUGUCAAAAAAAAUGCUUAGUGUGACAUUAAACGUAUCUGUGAAACCGAUUUGGGGUUGAUAACACAAUGUGUAAGAAGAAUUAAUUUCACGUGGACUGGAACUAGAGAGAUUCGUAAGGUUGAAUGAUGUAUAUCUCAA